AUUGAACGCUGGCGGCAUGCCUUACACAUGCAAGUCGAACGGCAGCACGGGGGCAACCCUGGUGGCGAGUGGCGAACGGGUGAGUAAUACAUCGGAACGUGUCCUCUUGUGGGGGAUAACCAGUCGAAAGAUUGGCUAAUACCGCAUGAGAUCGCAAGAUGAAAGCGGGGGACCGCAAGGCCUCGCGCGAGAGGAGCGGCCGAUGUCGGAUUAGCAGUUGGUGGGGUAAAGCCUACCAAGGCGACGAUCCGUAGCUGGUCUGAGAGGACGACCAGCCACACUGGGACUGAGACACGGCCCAGACUCCUACGGGAGGCUAGCAGUGGGGAAUUUUGGACAAUGGGCGCAAGCCUGAUCCAGCCAUGCCGCGUGUGUGAAGAAGGCCUU
rnacentral:rRNA from 1 species